ACUCCUACGGGAGGCAGCAGUGGGGAAUAUUGCACAAUGGGGGAAACCCUGAUGCAGCCAUGCCGCGUGUGUGAAGAAGGCCUUCGGGUUGUAAAGCACUUUCAGUAGGGAGGAAGGUAGUGUAGUUAACACCUGCAUUAUUUGACGUUACCUACAGAAGAAGCACCGGCUAACUCCGUGCCAGCAGCCGCGGUAAUACGGAGGGUGCGAGCGUUAAUCGGAAUUACUGGGCGUAAAGCGCAUGCAGGCGGCCUGUUAAGUCAGAUGUGAAAGCCCGGGGCUUAACCUCGGAAUUGCAUUUGAAACUGGCAGGCUAGAGUCUUGUAGAGGGGUUAGAAUUUCAGGUGUAGCGGUGAAAUGCGUAGAGAUCUGAAGGAAUACCAGUGGCGAAGGCGGCCCCUGGACAAAGACUGACGCUCAGAUGCGAAAGCGUGGGAGGCAAACAGGAUUAGAUACCCCUGGUAGCGACUGA
rnacentral:rRNA from 1 species